UACGUAGGAGGCGAGCGUUGUCCGGAAUUACUGGGCGUAAAGAGCGCGUAGGUGGCGCGAUACGACCGGUGUGAAAUCCUCCGGCUCAACUGGAGGGGGUCACUGGUAACGGUCGUGCUUAUGAGUGCAGGAGAGGGACGUGGAACUCCGGGAGUAGCGGUGAAAUGCGUAGAGACCCGGAGGAACACCAGUGGCGAAGGCGGGUCUCUGGGCCGUUACUGACGCUGAGGAGCGAAAGCGUGGGGAGCGAACAGG
rnacentral:rRNA from 1 species